rnacentral:lncRNA from 1 species
CUAUUUCUUAUAAUCAACCGACAGAGAUGAGCCUAAAUCCACAGAAAGAUAGCAACAAGUACAACAAAACCGAAUCCAUCAUCAGAGAUUGAAUAUUUAGUAAACCAUGUUCAGCAAAUAAGUCAACAUCAUUAUAGCUUUUAGAAUACAAAAAUUUGCCAACAUCUCACAAUAUUAUAUCACACGAGGAUUAUAUAUAGUUUUACAAAAAUAUCUAAAGCGGAAAUGGACAUGUUAUCUUUGCCUUUUCAAUUAUGUAAUAUGUAUUACUUUGUCCCAUAAAACAAAAGCUAAAAUCAGAUAUGACUGUUUGUUGAUUGCUAUUAGAUGGAUCUCUGUUUAAACAAUCAAGAAAGUACAAUAGAGGAAGUUAGAAGUCGCGAAAACGAGGAUGUUGCUUAUAUAUUGGGUAUGUGGUUGUCAUGUCAGAAAGAAUAUGAAACAAGGCCUCCAGGUUAAAGCUACGAGUCAUGCUUAUUACAAAUAAAGUAAGAGAAAAUAUGGUAGUGUUCAGGCUAAGUCCCGCUUAAGACAAACGACAGAAUUGGUGAGCAGCGGAGCAUGGAGCAUGUAUUGGUCAAGGGAUAAGAAGCAGGCUACAGAGUAUGCAGGAUAAGGACAGGCUGUUUGCCUUAAACAAGGACAU